CCAUCCCAGUUCGGAUUGCAGGCUGCAACCCGCCUGUAUGAAGUUGGAAUCGCUAGUAAUCGCGGGUCAGCAUGCCGCGGUGAAUACGUUCCCGGGCCUUGUACACACCGCCCGUCACACCAUGAGAGUCGGGAACACCCGAAGUCCGUAGUCUAACCGCAAGGGGGACGCGGCCGAAGGUGGGUUCGAUAAUUGGGGUGAAGUCGUAACAAGGUAAC
rnacentral:rRNA from 1 species